UACGUAGGGGGCUAGCGUUGUCCGGAAUCAUUGGGCGUAAAGAGCGUGUAGGCGGCCAGGUAGGUCUGCUGUGAAAACUCGAGGCUCAACCUCGAGACGUCGGCGGAAACCAUCUGGCUAGAGUCCGGAAGAGGAGAGUGGAAUUCCUGGUGUAGCGGUGAAAUGCGCAGAUAUCAGGAAGAACACCCGUGGCGAAGGCGGGUCUCUGGGCCGAUACUGACGCUGAGGAGCGAAAGCGUGGGGAGCGAACAGG
rnacentral:rRNA from 1 species